rnacentral:rRNA from 1 species
GACGAACGCUGGCGGCAUGCCUAAUACAUGCAAGUCGAACGAUGAUAUCACUGCUGGCAGUGAUUGAUUAGUGGCGAACGGGUGAGUAACACGUGAGGAACUUGCCCAUGAGCGGGGGACAACAUUCGGAAACGGAUGCUAAUACCCCAUAGGUGGAUUGGUCGCAUGACUAAUUCAUUAAAGGUGGCUCUGCUACCACUCAUGGAUAGCCUCGCGGCGUAUUAGCUAGUUGGUAAGGUAAUGGCUUACCAAGGCAGUGAUACGUAGCCGACUUGAGAGGGUGAUCGGCCACACUGGGACUGAGAUACGGCCCAGACUCCUACGGGAGGCAGCAGUGGGGAAUAUUGCACAAUGGGCGCAAGCCUGAUGCAGCGACGUCGCGUGGGGGAUGAAGGCCUUCGGGUUGUAAACUCCUUUCGCUAGGGACGAAGCUUUUUGUGACGGUACCUAGAUAAGAAGCACCGGCUAACUACGUGCCAGCAGCCGCGGUAAUACGUAGGGUGCGAACGUUGUCCGGAAUUACUGGGCGUAAAGGGCUCGUAGGUGGUUUGUCGCGUCGUCUGUGAAAUUCUGGGGCUUAACUCCGGGCGUGCAGGCGAUACGGGCAUAACUUGAGUGCUGUAGGGGUAACUGGAAUUCCUGGUGUAGCGGUGAAAUGCGCAGAUAUCAGGAGGAACACCGAUGGCGAAGGCAGGUUACUGGGCAGUUACUGACGCUGAGGAGCGAAAGCAUGGGUAGCGAACAGGAUUAGAUACCCUGGUAGUCCAUGCCGUAAACGGUGGGCGCUAGGUGUGAGGGUCUUUCUACGACUUUCGUGCCGUAGCUAACGCAUUAAGCGCCCCGCCUGGGGAGUACGGCCGCAAGGCUAAAACUCAAAGGAAUUGACGGGGGCCCGCACAAGCGGCGGAGCAUGUGGAUUAAUUCGAUGCAACGCGAAGAACCUUACCUGGGCUUGACAUACACCAGAUUGGGCUAGAGAUAGUUCGUCCCUUUGUGGUUGGUGUACAGGUGGCGCAUGGUUGUCGUCAGCUCGUGUCGUGAGAUGUUGGGUUAAGUCCCGCAACGAGCGCAACCCUUGUCUUAUGUUGCCAGCAUUUGGUUGGGGACUCAUGAGAGACUGCCGGGGUUAACUCGGAGGAAGGUGGGGAUGACGUCAAAUCAUCAUGCCCCUUAUGUCCAGGGCUUCACACAUGCUACAAUGGUCGGUACAACGCGCUGCGACACUGUGAGGUGGAGCGAAUCGCUGAAAGCCGGCCUUAGUUCGGAUUGGGGUCUGCAACUCGACCCCAUGAAGUCGGAGUCGCUAGUAAUCGCAGAUCAGCAAUGCUGCGGUGAAUACGUUCCCGGGCCU